ACGCUGGCGGCAGGCCUAACACAUGCAAGUCGAGCGGUAGAGAGAAGCUUGCUUCUCUUGAGAGCGGCGGACGGGUGAGUAAUGCCUAGGAAUCUGCCUGGUAGUGGGGGAUAACGUUCGGAAACGGACGCUAAUACCGCAUACGUCCUACGGGAGAAAGCAGGGGACCUUCGGGCCUUGCGCUAUCAGAUGAGCCUAGGUCGGAUUAGCUAGUUGGUGGGGUAAUGGCUCACCAAGGCGACGAUCCGUAACUGGUCUGAGAGGAUGAUCAGUCACACUGGAACUGAGACACGGUCCAGACUCCUACGGGAGGCAGCAGUGGGGAAUAUUGGACAAUGGGCGAAAGCCUGAUCCAGCCAUGCCGCGUGUGUGAAGAAGGUCUUCGGAUUGUAAAGCACUUUAAGUUGGGAGGAAGGGCAGUAAAUUAAUACCUUGCUGUUUUGACGUUACCGACAGAAUAAGCACCGGCUAACUCCGUGCCAGCAGCCGCGGUAAUACAGAGGGUGCAAGCGUUAAUCGGAAUUACUGGGCGUAAAGCGCGCGUAGGUGGUUUGUUAAGUUGGAUGUGAAAUCCCCGGGCUCAACCUGGGAACUGCAUUCAAAACUGACUGACUAGAGUGUGGUAGAGGGUGGUGGAAUUUCCUGUGUAGCGGUGAAAUGCGUAGAUAUAGGAAGGAACACCAGUGGCGAAGGCGACCACCUGGACCAACACUGACACUGAGGUGCGAAAGCGUGGGGAGCAAAC
rnacentral:rRNA from 1 species